UAUUCAUUGUCAUUAAUACACCGGCCACAUUGAACACACCGCAGGAUACAAAGUGUGCAUGCCCUGCAUGCUUGAGUGGAAUGUUCUUUCUGCUGACAACCCUCUGCAGGGCAAUCAUAUACUAACCUCAGGUUCCGGCAUCUUGGGCACAUUUCAAUAUCAAUGGUACGAUCAUCCUCACACGACAGAUAAAAGUUUCCUCUGUGAUAAAAAUGUGGUUUGUGGGCAUUCUGCUGUAUGCGCCUAUCUGUGCCCAACAAGAACUUCAGUUCUUCAAAAUGCUUCUGUGUUACUCCAUAGAGCCCACCAAUCCUUAAAUGCUUUACCCCUUGAGCACCCAUAGUCUUUAACACCUUUAAGCUAGUUACAAUGCCUUCAAUGCCAAGUCUAGUACAUCCAGGCACACUCAGCUUGGUUAGCCUAGGGUUAUUUUGAAGAACAUACUUCAGCCCAUCAUCAGUAAUCCUUGGACACUCAAUCAGGCUCAGGCAUUGCAAGUUACCUUGAGCCCUAUUAGUUAAUUGCGAAAGAACAUCAUCAGUGAUCUUCUCAUUCAAUGGUUGAUCUAUGUGAAUGCUNCCUCCAUAAAAGUGGGUCACUUUGAACAGUAGAACGCAAUGAUUUGCAAACCAUUUCAACAACAAGAAGAUCCCGCACACCAAGAUAACCAAGAGCAAAAGCAAAGGCUGCAUGAGGAGAUCCUGCAUCUCCAUCAGAGCAAACACCAAUACCCUCGUGAGAUUCUCCAAUUCUCUUAUCGACAAUACCAGCAUCUUUAUUGGCAAUUAAUUCGUUCCCUAAUCUCAAAAUGUCUUCCACAAUACAAGGCAAACCAAAAGCACCAUGGCCAGAUGCAUCCCCUACUUCCUUCUCUAGAAACCC
rnacentral:misc_RNA from 1 species